ensembl:lncRNA
GCCUUCCUGGACAGCAUUGGCAGGUGGGCACCUUCUGCCCCAUCGUUCCCUUCCUGUGACUGCAAAGAUAGCUCCGUUCCAUCUUCUGUUGUCUUCUGCUUUCCAACGUGGAGGGCUCAGCCAUUGCAUCUUCCACUGAAGGACAAAAGCAUGAAAGUCGAUCUGUUGGUGAAAGCUCUGGAGAGGUGCAGAGACAGGGAGGAAACGAGGCACCAUCCCACUGAAAUCAGCAGGACUCUGUGGUGCUCUGAGAAAGGCAUACAUAUGCCUGGAUCAAGUUGAUAUUUACAGAAGGCUCCUUUUGAAUUGGCUUUUGAUUAUACACCUAUGUCAGAGGGUGGACAGUGAGACUCAGUGUGACUUGUUUCCAUGAGAGAAAGAUGGUGAAAGAUUGUGAAGGUAACCUUUAAUAUUACAGACCUUUUUCAGCUGUCAUGUACAGCACUGAACUGUGUAUUUCUGCUUGAAAGGGAACAUAAACUAUGAUCCAGAACACAAAAGGGUUUAGAAAAUGUAACCUUUGUGACUAUGAUUUGGGUUUUAUUAGCC